ACUAUCGGCUAAAUACCCUAAGGGCAACAAAUCCUGUCUCAUCUUGGAAGCCAAGCAGGGUCAGCCCUGGUUAAUACUUGGAGGUGUAACUCUAAUGAAUCUCCAGGUGCUGCAGGCU
rnacentral:rRNA from 11 species